UUAACCUACCCUUGACAUGGUCUGGAAUGCCGAAGAGAUUUGGCAGUGCUCGCAAGAGAACCGGAACACAGGUGCUGCAUGGCUGUCGUCAGCUCGUGUCGUGAGAUGUUGGGUUAAGUCCCGCAACGAGCGCAACCCUUGUCAUUAGUUGCUACGAAAGGGCACUCUAAUGAGACUGCCGGUGACAAACCGGAGGAAGGUGGGGAUGACGUCAAGUCCUCAUGGCCCUUAUGGGUAGGGCUUCACACGUCAUACAAUGGUCGGGACAGAGGGCUGCCAACCCGCAAGGGGGAGCCAAUCCCAGAAACCCGAUCGUAGUCCGGAUCGCAGUCUGCAACUCGACUGCGUGAAGUCGGAAUCGCUAGUAAUCGCGGAUCAGCAUGUCGCGGUGAAUACGUUCCCGGGUCUUGUACACACCGCCCGUCACACCAUGGGAGUGGGUUUUACCAGAAGUAGUUAGCCUAACCGCAAGGGGGGCGAUUACCACGGUAGGAUUCAUGACUGGGGUGAAGUCGUAACAAGGUAAGCGUAGCGAG
rnacentral:rRNA from 1 species